ACUUUCAAAGGAAAGCAGCUAUCCGAUGGCCUUAGGAGUCAAAACCCUUGGUGCAAAUCCAAGUAAAAGUAAUG
rnacentral:tRNA from 1 species